rnacentral:rRNA from 1 species
AGUCGAACGAAGUCUUCGGACUGAGUGGCGGACGGGUGAGUAACACGUGAGAACCUGCCUUAAGGUCGGGGAUAACAGUUGGAAACGACUGCUAAUACCGGAUGUGCCUACGGGUGAAAGAUUUAUUGCCUAAAGAUGGGCUCGCGUCUGAUUAGCUAGUUGGAGUGGUAAUGGCACACCAAGGCGACGAUCAGUAGCUGGUCUGAGAGGAUGAUCAGCCACACUGGGACUGAGACACGGCCCAGACUCCUACGGGAGGCAGCAGUGGGGAAUUUUCCGCAAUGGGCGAAAGCCUGACGGAGCAAGACCGCGUGAGGGAGGAAGGCUCUUGGGUUGUAAACCUCUUUUGUCAGGGAAGAACACAAUGACGGUACCUGACGAAUCAGCAUCGGCUAACUCCGUGCCAGCAGCCGCGGUAAUACGGAGGAUGCAAGCGUUAUCCGGAAUUAUUGGGCGUAAAGCGUCCGCAGGUGGCUAUUCAAGUCUGCCGUCAAAGACCGGGGCUUAACCCUGGAAAGGCGGUGGAAACUGAAAGGCUAGAGAGAGGUAGGGGUAGAGGGAAUUCCCAGUGUAGCGGUGAAAUGCGUAGAGAUUGGGAAGAACACCGGUGGCGAAAGCGCUCUACUGGACCUCAUCUGACGCUAGAGGACGAAAGCUAGGGGAGCGAAUGGGAUUAGAUACCCCAGUAGUCCUAGCCGUA